UAGGGAAUCUUCCGCAAUGGGCGAAAGCCUGACGGAGCAACGCCGCGUGAGUGAUGAAGGUCUUCGGAUCGUAAAACUCUGUUAUUAGGGAAGAACAAAUGUGUAAGUAACUAUGCACGUCUUGACGGUACCUAAUCAGAAAGCCACGGCUAACUACGUGCCAGCAGCCGCGGUAAUACGUAGGUGGCAAGCGUUAUCCGGAAUUAUUGGGCGUAAAGCGCGCGUAGGCGGUUUUUUAAGUCUGAUGUGAAAGCCCACGGCUCAACCGUGGAGGGUCAUUGGAAACUGGAAAACUUGAGUGCAGAAGAGGAAAGUGGAAUUCCAUGUGUAGCGGUGAAAUGCGCAGGGAUAUGGAGGAACACCAGUGGCGAAGGCGACUUUCUGGUCUGUAACUGACGCUGAUGUGCGAAAGCGAGGGGAUCAAACAGG
rnacentral:rRNA from 1 species